rnacentral:rRNA from 1 species
GAUGAACGCUGGCGGCGUGCCUAACACAUGCAAGUCGAACGACAAGACGAUGAGCUUGUUCUUCUGCCGUUAGCGGCGGACGGGUGAGUAACGAGUAGAUCAUAUACCUCUAUGUCUGGGAUAAUUACGUAAAACAGGAUACACUAACGUAGCAUAUAUUGAACCUCAUGGUUCAAUAGUUAAUUUCAGCUUUGGUGACUGAACUAGCUGGUUCCGGGCCGUAUUAUCUAGUUGGUAAGGUAACGGCUUACCAAGGAUACGAUGCGUAGCCGACCGGAGAGGGUGAUCGGCCACACUGGAACUGAGACACGGUCCAGACUCCUACGGGAGGCAGCAGUAGGGAAUCUUCCGCAAUGGGCGAAAGCCUGACGCAGCAACGCCGCGUGAGUGAUGAAGGUCUUCGGUUCGUAAAGCUCUGUUAUUGGGGAAGAACAGCUGUAGAAGAAACCAUAGACGUCUUGACGGUACCUAAUCAAAAAGCCACGGCUAACUACGUG